AAGCAGCCAUUCAUUUAAAGAGUGCGUAACAGCUCACUAGUCGAGGAGUUUGGCGUGGAUAAUAAUCGGGCAUAAGUAUUCUACCGAAGCUUUGGGAUGAGAAAUCAUCGGUAGGGGAGCAUUCCACUCGGCGUCGAAGGUGAAGCGCGAGCUUUGCUGGAGCGUGUGGAAAAGCAAAUGUAGGUAUAAGUAACGAUAAAGGGGGUGGGAAACCCCCUCGCCGAAAGACUAAGGUUUCCUGAUCAACGCUAAUCGGAUCAGGGUAAGUCGGGUCCUAAGGCUCAGCCGAACGGCGAGGCCGAUGGCAGAACCGGUUAAUAUUCCGGUACUACCUGUGGGAGUGACGUGGAGACGGAGUCGUGACAGCGCCGCGGACUGACGGAAUAGUCCGUUGAAGGGUGUAGAUGCUGAUUGUUCCAGGCAAAUCCGGAGCAAGAGUCGAACCUGAUAGUAUGGAGCGUUCUUAGAACAAUCCAAUAGUGCGUGUAAUCAUACUUCCAAGAAAAUCCGCUAAACUUAAUCCUGCAGGUACCCGUACCGCAAACGGACACACGUAGUCGGGUUGAAUAUACUAAGGCGCUUGAGUGA
rnacentral:rRNA from 1 species